UAAGUGAAGAGUUUGAUCCUGGCUCAGAGUGAACGCUGGCGGUAGGCCUAACACAUGCAAGUCGAACGGCAGCACAGGAGAGCUUGCUCUC
rnacentral:rRNA from 1 species